AAUCAACGCUGGCGGCGUGCCUCAGACAUGCAAGUCGAACGAUUAAAGCUCUCUUCGGAGAGUGUAUAGAGUGGCGCACGGGUGAGUAACACGUAAGUAAUCUACCUCUGAGUGGGGAGUAACGUCCGGAAACGGACGCUAAUACCGCAUAAUGCAGCGGCACCGCAAGGUGACAGUUGUUAAAGAUUUAUCGCUUAGAGAGGAGCUUGCGGCAGAUUAGCUAGUUGGUAAGGUAAUGGCUUACCAAGGCUACGAUCUGUAACCGGUCUUAGAGGACGGUCGGUCACUCUGACACUGAAUAACGGGUCAGACUCCUACGGGAGGCAGCAGUCGGGAAUUUUGGGCAAUGGGCGAAAGCCUGACCCAGCAACGCCGCGUGAAGGAUGAAGUAUUUCGGUAUGUAAACUUCGAAAGAAUGGGAAGAAUCAAUGACGGUACCAUUUAUAAGGUCCGGCUAACUACGUGCCAGCCGCCGCCGUAAAAC
rnacentral:rRNA from 1 species